rnacentral:misc_RNA from 1 species
AAAGUCGUAACAAGGUUUCCGUAGGUGAACCUGCGGAAGGAUCAUUAACACGUAUCCACGUAUUAACCAAACGGUAAUUGUAUCUCCCUAGUAAAUGUUUAGCUGUUUGAUCGAAUCAUGGUGGGUAUGCACUUUUGUGUAUACGAAUCGAUUGAACUUGAGCUUCGAGCUCGCGGCUUUACUGUUUAUUAGGCUUUCUUUUUCCAUCAUACCUUUCUACCUUAAGGUUUGGUGGGAAUACAUAACAAACCUAUUUCACCCUAACUAUCAACAUUUGACUAAUACUAUUCACUUGGAGAAAUCCAAGCCUGAAUUGAGUUAUCUUAACUAAGCACAACUCUUAGCAAUGGAUAUCUUGGUUCUC